CCCAGAACGGCGGUCCGCUGUUAAGGGAAGGCCCGGGGAGAGGGAUGAAAAGGAAGCAGCCGACCCCCUGCCUCUUCCACCCGCUGAACCAGAUGGGAAUAAGGAGGAGCAGCCAGAGAUACUUCCCCCCCGCCCUCCGCCUUCUCUCCGACGUGGUCCGGACUGAUGCCAGGCAUUCUGCCACUUGAGGGAGGGUCAGUGCUGUGAGUCAUUGGCAACGCAGCCUUUCCCGCGUAAUUUUUAAUUGAGUUUUCUAGCUGCAAGUAAACAACAACA